rnacentral:rRNA from 1 species
AUUGAACGCUGGCGGCAGGCUUAACACAUGCAAGUCGAGCGAGCGGCGGACGGGUGAGUAAUGUCUGGGAAACUGCCUGAUGGAGGGGGAUCACUACUGGAAACGGUAUCUAAUACCGCAUACCAUCAGAUGUGCCAAGAUGGGAUUAGCUAUGAGGUGGGGUAAUGGCGCACCUAGGCGACGAUCCCUAGCUGGUCUGAGAGGAUGAUCAGCCAAACUGGAACGGAGACACGGUCCAGACUACUACGGGAGGCAGCAGGGGGGAAGAUUGCAAAAUGGGCGCAAGCCUGAUGCAGCCAUGCCGCGUGGGGGAAGAAGGCCUUCGGGUUGUAAAGCACUGUCAGCGAGGAGGCGUUACUCGCAGAAGAAGCACCGGCUAACUCCGUGCCAGCAGCCGCGGUAAUAC